rnacentral:tRNA from 1 species
GCCGCUUGCGAGGGGGGGCUGGCAUGUUAAGUCGUCAUGUGACCUACUGUUUUGGACCGAUCGUUCGUAAUGAUGGAGUCAGAGGUUCGAAUCCUCUAAGCGGCA